UAGAAAGAUUUGAGUCAGAAGCUCAGGAGUUUGGCUCCUAGCUUAUAAGGCUGAUUGAUGGUCUGGGAGCAUGGCUAGAUUCUACAUGGGUGUGAAGGUCAAUAAAGGUCAGCAUGUACUCACAGUUUUCAGUGGAGCAGACAGAAAACAAUAGCCUGGACAUCAACUGGCACUGCAACCCAGUCAGCAUUUGAGCAGCCCAGCCCUGCCAAGUUUCAGACAGAGCUGUCAAUCACGACAUCAGGAACCAUGGCUGUGGGAUGUCUCUUUCAUCUUUGAUUUCCCACCCUCUGGAAACAUCCUCUAAACAGACCCAGAGAUGUAUCUUCUGAGUUAUUCCAAAGUUUGUUAUUUGACAAUGAAGAUUAACAACACAUUUUGCUGCUGUUGAAAUGGUGAACUGACUAAAGAAAAGUAUACAUGAAAGAAAAAUAAAACUCAGUCCAUGCCCAUCAGA